rnacentral:misc_RNA from 1 species
AACUGAAUGGAUGUUCAAGGUUGCUGAAGGUGCCACGGCACUUUACAUGGAACAGCUUCGAGGGAUCCAGUAUAUAACAGAUCGUGGAGCACAACAACUCUCUGUUGAUAUCGAGUAUCUAAGCAAUGUACUAUCAGCUCUAUCAAUGCCAAUUCCUACAUGUCUUGCUACAUUCCAGACAUGUUUUUCAACACCUAAAGAUCAGCUCAAGGAUCUUAUAAAGUCAGAUUCUGGGAAUCAGCUUGAUCUUCCUACUGCUAACCUCGUCUGCAAGAUGCGACGUAUCAGUUUAGAAUGAUGACUACUUCUUAGUCAUCAUGCUGUGUUGUUACUGCUGCAGAAAUGGUACAACACUAGACCUAUUUGUUGUAGAGAGUUUUGUUUUUUUCUCCUUUCUCCAUAGAUAACAGUUGUGUUUACUUUCUAGACCUUGACAAAUUUUUGUACAAGUACGUUCUAAAGUUAUAUGUGAAAG